UAUUAGGACCGUCGUGUUUUCAGGAGGCGCUAAACCAAAAUUCACUUUUUAAGUUCGCGAGCGCGGAGCUUUUCAGAAAACACUCGCUCUCUCAAACACUGUACUAUCUCAAAUUCUCCCACGAACUUUCACAAAACCCUCUCUCUCUCAACUCUCUCUCACAUCGAUGAAGCACAUCUCCCUCUCGCCAUCCACCGAACUUGCCGAGAUCGCCAUCUCCGUCACUCCGUUCAGGACACCGAGUUCACCGAGAUCGCCAUCUCCAUCGCGUCGUUCAGUCCACCGAGCUCACAUCGUUCAGUCCACCGAACUCGCCUCGUUAACCAAAAUUUAUUCUCUCCCUCUGAAAAUGAACCAAGCUCAAGCACUAAUUUGAAGGAAAAAACUACGAUGAGGGUUUUAAUGUCAGAUCUGGUUAUGAUUGUCUCGCGAACACUUUGCAAUGGGUAUGUUUUAUUAUGUUUAGUUUAUUAUCGAAGAAACUAUGUAUGUUUUAUUUUGUUUGAUUUAGGUUCUUCCAUUAAAGAUGCUGGUGAGUUGAUUUAGGAAUUAGGGCUUUGGGUAUAAAAAGCUGGUAUGAAAUCCACACCAUCGACUAUUUUAGCUUCAGCCCAGAGUGGACAUGCAACUGGCGAUGAUUGGCAAUAGGAGGUCUAUCAAAAAGACAAGGAGAAAAGGGAGAGGGUCCUCCUCCUUGUGUUGAUUCAGAGAUGAACUCAAGACCUCGUCUCAUUGCUCACUUUGUUCAGCCUUCUCUGCGUUGCUGCUACAAGGAAGCUUACUCAGUGGUCAAGAAAGAAGGGACCUAUUGUUGCUGAUAUUGCUACAGUGGAGGGGACUACAAUAACUUGGAAGAUGUGCAAGGCGGAGCUAACUCAUACAUCCAAGAACAAAUUGAUGAAGUUCGUAUCAAAUCAGUAGAAUUUGUGAGCAACAUGUAGCUCCUUUAUUUCUAAUUAUAGGUAGGAAGUAUGUAUGUAAUAGAAUAAAGAUUGGUUGACUAUGUAAUGACUAUUGAAUCUUCAAGUUUUAUGAAAUAAAUAAUUUUUGAAUCA